GCGCAGGGAUAGCUGGUGUGCGUGCAGCGGAAGGCGCUAACUGCCCUGGAUGUGGAGACCCGCGGACUGGACGUGAGAGGCGGGCAGGGGCAGUUGGGGCAGCUGCCCCUACAACACUGAAGAAUUGGAAUAGGAAAGAGUGUGGGGGUAGGGGACGGGGACUCUUUGUCUGCAGUUGGAAUGCGCGGAGGGGCAUGGUGGAAUGUGUCGCGUCCCGGGACCGGACGACAGGAGGCAUGUUCUGCGCUAGCACCGUGACUUUGUUCCCAGCGUGGGGACUGUGGGAGAGAUGGAGAGAGACUGGUACAGAAAUGGUGAGACAAGGAGAGAGCCAUAAAGAGGAAGACAGAGAGAAAGAAGACAAAUGCAUAAAGAGGUUCAGAGACGUGUACGUAAAGAUAGCCCUGAAAGGCGACGAAGCCCACAGAGAGAGGUGGAAGAGGGAAGAGGUAGCGAAAGAAAGGGAGAGCUGAGGAGCAAAGAGGAGUGUGGACGAUGCAGAGACCGAAGGGUGCGCAGACAAAGGAAAGGACAAGCUUGUCCAGAGAGAAUGAGAGACAAACAGAUAAACUGCAAUAAAAAGGCACCACCUUCUGGACCCAAAAGUUUUGUGAUUUGUAAAAGCAGUGAAAAGGAGUCAGGAAAAUGGGACUAAUCUCUACUUUGAGAGGGAGGGAAAGAGAUAUAGUGUGUAUGUAGAAGCAGUGAAAAGGAGUGAGGAAAAGGUUUGGGACUAAUCUCUACCUUAAGGGUAGGACAGUUAGAGGGAUAGACACCCCCUGGUGUUGGGAAAUGAGAUUUUUCUCAUUUCAGGUGACUGUGGAGAUCGAAGGCCUGGUUUUAGGGCUAGCGAACACCUUCUCCCUUUGGUUUUGGUCCACAGAAGACUGGUGAUACAGACUCCUUAUCAGUGUAAUUGUGGGGACUGGUCACCAGCUCUUGCUUGAGCUUUUCCAGAAGAAACUUCACUACUGAAAUAUUCCAAGAGGACUUGAUGCUGCCACAAAGAGAAGAGAAUGAAUAAAGUUGUCGGCUUUGUAAGAGCCAGACAAACAGAGAUACCCAGCACUAAUCAACUUUGUGGCAAAUCCCUCCACAGCCUAAGAAGGUUUGCCUAAAGGACCCACUGCAUUUAUGGAGAAACUGAAAAAUGAAAAAGUAGCUCCUAGAACUCG
rnacentral:lncRNA from 1 species